rnacentral:rRNA from 1 species
AACGAAGGGGGCUAGCGUUGUUCGGGAUUACUGGGCGUAAAGCGUACGUAGGCGGAUUUGUAAGUAGGGGGUGAAAUCCCCAGGCUCAACCUGGGAACUGCCUUCUAGACUGCAAGUCUCGAGAUCAGGAGAGGCGAGUGGAAUUCCGAGUGUAGAGGUGAAAUUCGUAGAUAUUCGGAGGAACACCAGUGGCGAAGGCGACUCGCUGGACUGAUACUGACGCUGAGGUACGAAAGCGUGGGGAGCACACUGG